GCCUGGCAUGUUUACCAGUACAAGGAGCAUCAAUCUCAUUAGGUAAAUGGAGAAUUUGGAUUCUGGAGAAACCACAGUCUGCCUGAAGCUUUGGUUCCAUCCUCAUGCCUGCAUCCAGUCCAGGUGCCCUAGCUAUGCUGGACAAAAGGAUUCUCGAUCGAUGCAGCCCCUGAAGAUGCGGCUUCAGCCAGGACUGUUUGCACCACACACACAGAGGCCAAGUGCAGAUGACCCCAAGGCCAGUUCUUCCUGGGCCAGAGAGUCAACUCCUCACUCCCAAGCUCGGAGGCAGUGACAAUGGUUACAGUCAGAGGCUGAGGAAUUCUGACACCUGGGUUCUCAGAUGCUGCCAGAGGCUGUGGAAUUUUGACUUCUCAGACACAAGACCUUCUACUCAAGGUCAAGAGCCACAGGUCCUGACACUGCAGGUCUGCAUAGCAGCUGGAAGACCUGUAGAGUGAAGAGUCCUGGGCUUGGGAGAUGGCUCCGUGGGUAAAGGUCUUACCAUGGAAACAUGAGGACCCCAGGAAUGCUGGGCAUAACAGCGAUUUCUGUAAUUCCAUCACUCCUGUGUUGAGAUGGAUGGUAGAGACAGGAGAAUUCUUUGAAGCCCAUGGGCUGGCUGGCUUCAUAUAUGCAGCACUGAAUUUGAGGGACUUUGCCUUGAACAUGGUGGGAGGUGAGGACUGAGAGCUAACAUUGUCCUUUGACAUCUACAUCAGUGACAAGACACAACAGCACACGAUAAAAAAACAAAACAGAUGGAUCUGGAGAGAUGGCUCAGUGGUUAGAAGCACCACUGACCUUGCAGGAGACUCAAGUUUGGCUCCCAGAUCACAAUUGCCUGUAACUCCAGGGGCUCAGAUGCCCUCUUCUGGUUCUCUGGACACCUGCAAUGUGCCCCUAGUGCAUGUGUGCGUGCACACACACACACACACACACACACACACACACACACACACCAGUUAGUUUUAAAAUGCCUCAGCUAGCUCAAAGGCUGGGCAGUUCUAAUCCUCCCCUUGGCUAGUACACAUUUUCCUCCUAUAAUCCUGGCUUAACGCCCUCUAGUUCUAUAUUUUAUUUUUGUUGCCCUGGUUCCUUCUGGGUGGCUCCCUAGUCUUUGCUGCACAAGAUGCUUCUGGAUAGCCUUUCCAGGGGCCCAUAUUCCUUCUCACCUACAUUUCGGAUAAUUUUUCCUUCUGCAGCUCUAAAUCCGAUCCAUCUCCCUCUGAAUUAUGGCAAUUCUCUGUUUUCCCUUCUCUCAGUUGCUAGCCCAUGCAAAUCUAAAGGUCCUGCUUCAGUCUGUCUUCCCAACCACUGGUCAUUGUCUCUUUAUUGACCAAUCAAAAGCCAGUUGGGGACAAGAACCUUCAGCAUUUGGACAUGCAGAUUCCCGAUUUUGAGGGCUGGAUUAAUUGGAAGCCUUGGAACCAAUCCCCAGCAUCAUCUUUUCUGUCCAAAUUUUAAAAAAGGCUCUUCUGUCAGACAUAAAUUGAGCAUAACCAUAACAGUUAUGUAAUUUACAAAGUACGAUAUGCAAUUAACAUCCAGUCUGUCAUAUUUGGCAAUUUAGAUAAAGUAUUCUAUUAUCUAUCUUAGCUUAAUGAGUUACAAUUCUGUACCUAAAUCAUGUUUGAUUUCAACUUGUAUUACCAUCUGAAAACCGUCUUUUGAAUCUAGAACACCUUUAAUGCUAAACAGCUUAUGUUCAAUUGUGAGGUUAUAAUUAGUCUUCAACCUCGUCAGUCAGAGAUUUGAUAAGGAAUUAAAUAUUACCUGAGUAUGUAGGAGGAACACAGACGCAGCUUCCAAAACCUUUUCUUCCCUGUUCAAAACUAUACCAUCUCCAAGUUAUCCCUUAAAAUGACAACCCAUCUAUAAUUUGUAAAAUAAUCAUAACCAGACACUCAAACCCAAGGAAUCAGACUGAUGACUCCCCAUGGCUUCCUCCUGCCGGAUAGGGGUGACAAGAAAUUCUUUAAAGGGGUGGGGAGGGGAAGGAAGAUUAGAAAAAGUGCUAGGCUUAAGACAGGUAGAUUUAGCAUCUGUUAUCCAUUUUCUGUUCAGGGCUGAACUGAGGUUCUGACUGGGUCCAUCUGAAAGGCUGGAUGAACCAAAUCCAUAGGGAAUCAGUAGCAUCCCUGAGGCUGUUCUAGAAGUGAGGCUCUGGACAGCACCAGGAAGCAGGGGACCGGAGCGGCAGGUCAGCUCAGUGUCUCAGCAGAUGAAUCUUGUCAGAGUCGUACAAUCUGCAACGUAUGAAUCACAAGCAGAAUUUUUGUACUAUUAAGAUAUUUGUAUCCAUUGUGCAGGGUGCACAGAUCAGUUAAGGAUGAAAUCUGUUCCUUGUUUGAGCAGGUAAAAGACAAUUGACUUUUUAUGAAUUAUUUUUAACAAUAACCAAUUGUGUGAUAAAUCUCCAUUCAUGAUAUAUGAAGGAGGGCAUGAAAAAUCUUAAGGAUUCCAUAACCAACAAGAUUUACUGUCUAAUUUUAGCUGAAGUUUUAGUUAGAGACAUUUUUAUGUCUAAGUCAGUUACUAGGCUCUUCCCAUGUUGAGGAAUCAGCAGAUCAAGUUGCCUGUCCUGUUCAAUUUUCUCGAAUUUUUCUUUGCUGUAGUCAAGAUCCUCAGAGGGUCUCUCCUGUCCUACCUGAUCCAUAUCACUGUGGAAGGGGUCCAAAGCCUUUUCCCUUUUCCCGUCAGCACAAAUGCAGAGCCUUUCUCCCAGGAACUGGAAAGCGUUAAUGGUACAGCUUGACCUCUCUCGCAGAGGAGUUAUAACUGCCAUACUCAUAGCCACACGAAUUUUGAUAAUUAAAGCAAUUCAAAGCAGUUAAAGCAAUCUAAACAAACGUUAACCAUCAAGACAGUGCUUCUUCACCAUCUCCUGCUUUCUGACCUAUACUUUAAGAUCAAUAUUUUACACAUCUAUGUAUAGUCAAAUCAUGCCUUCUAUAGAGAGGAGCUCUGUGAGUACUUAUGAUAGUAUGCCACUUUCUCUUUAUGUAAUUCUCAAGGCCUAAGUUUCUAUUCUCUGAGAUAGGUUAGACUCCCUAUCCUUUGCUUUUUAAUCUAAUUUUUAAGGAUAGGAAACCUCAGUAUUGUCUAUGUCUACUUACUGUAUAAGUCUAUUUCCAGGCUAAAUUUUGUCAUACCAGGCUAAACAAUCACAGAAAUCUCAUGUGGACUAUGUUCAAAGAUUUUGAGAAUUUGCCCUGGCAAGACUUUUAAAUUUCUCUAAAGAAAUUUUUUUUCAUUCAGUCUCCCUAACUUCUUUCCUCUGUAUACUUAAGAACAUUUAAGCAAUUACCAUUAUACUCUCUUCUAUCCUUAAAAGGAAUUAAAUAAAAAUUUAUAAAAAUUUAUUUAUCUGGUGACU
rnacentral:lncRNA from 1 species